UACGAAGGGGGCGAGCGUUGUUCGGAUUUACUGGGCGUAAAGGGCUCGUAGGCGGCCAACUAAGUCAGACGUGAAAUCCCUCGGCUUAACCGGGGAACUGCGUCUGAUACUGGUUGGCUUGAGUGUGGGAGAGGGAUGCGGAAUUCCAGGUGUAGCGGUGAAAUGCGUAGAUAUCUGGAGGAACACCGGUGGCGAAGGCGGCAUCCUGGACCAUUACUGACGCUGAGGAGCGAAAGCCAGGGGAGCAAACGGG
rnacentral:rRNA from 1 species